rnacentral:rRNA from 1 species
UGGGGGAUAUUGCACAAUGGGGGAAACCCUGAUGCAGCGACGCCGCGUGGAGGAAGAAGGCCUUCGGGUUGUAAACUCCUGUCCGAGGGGACGAUAAUGACGGUACCCUUGGAGGAAGCACCGGCUAACUACGUGCCAGCAGCCGCGGUAAAACGUAGGGUGCAAGCGUUGUCCGGAAUUACUGGGUGUAAAGGGAGCGCAGGCGGAUUUGCAAGUUGGGAGUGAAAACUAUGGGCUCAACCCAUAACCUGCUUUCAAAACUGCAGAUCUUGAGUGGUGUAGAGGUAGGCGGAAUUCCCGGUG